rnacentral:rRNA from 1 species
GUGGGGAAUCUUCCGCAAUGGACGAAAGUCUGACGGAGCAACGCCGCGUGAGUGAAGAAGGUCUUCGGAUCGUAAAGCUCUGUUGUACGGGACGAAUGUUGGAGGCGUGAAUAAUGCCAUCAAAUGACGGUACUGUACGAGGAAGCCACGGCUAACUACGUGCCAGCAGCCGCGGUAAUACGUAGGUGGCGAGCGUUGUCAGGAAUUAUUGGGCGUAAAGGGAGCGCAGGUGGGAAGGUAAGUCUGUUUUAAAAGCGUCGGGCUCAACCCGAUGAGGGAACAGAAACUAUUUUUCUUGAGUGCAGGAGAGGAAAGCGGAAUUCCUAGUGUAGCGGUGAAAUGCGUAGAUAUCAUCCAGAACACCGAUUGCGAAGGCAGGUGGCUGUACCUUAAUCGACGCUGAUGCACGAAAGCAUGGGGAGCAAACAGGAUUAGAAACCCGGGUAGUCC